rnacentral:tRNA from 1 species
GGUUGCUCAGUGGUAGAGCACUUGCAUUGCAUGCAUGAGGCCCUGGGUUCGAUUCCCUAGCACCA